rnacentral:snoRNA from 1 species
AACUUUGUCUUAAAGUACCAAUCCAUCAUAAUAGACAGUACGUGAUUAAAUCUUUGAGGUUUUACCUUAUUGCUUUGGUUUUAAUUAAUCGUGAUCAUUGAUGGAGAGAUAAAAAUUGUAUCAAUAAGAACUCGUCUGGAUUUUUCAACUGAAAGGUGGGUGUCAGAUGAUGCAGAUAUCU